AUUGAACGCUGGCGGCAGGCCUAACACAUGCAAGUCGAGCGGAUGAAGGGAGCUUGCUCCUGGAUUCAGCGGCGGACGGGUGAGUAAUGCCUAGGAAUCUGCCUGGUAGUGGGGGAUAACGUCCGGAAACGGGCGCUAAUACCGCAUACGUCCUGAGGGAGAAAGUGGGGGAUCUUCGGACCUCACGCUAUCAGAUGAGCCUAGGUCGGAUUAGCUAGUUGGUGGGGUAAAGGCCUACCAAGGCGACGAUCCGUAACUGGUCUGAGAGGAUGAUCAGUCACACUGGAACUGAGACACGGUCCAGACUCCUACGGGAGGCAGCAGUGGGGAAUAUCGGACAAUGGGCGAAAGCCUGAUCCAGCCAUGCCGCGUGUGUGAAGAAGGUCUUCGGAUUGUAAAGCACUUUAAGUUGGGAGGAAGUGCAGUAAGUUAAUACCUUGCUGUUUUGACGUUACCAACAGAAUAAGCACCGGCUAACUUCGU
rnacentral:rRNA from 1 species